rnacentral:rRNA from 1 species
AUUGAACGCUGGCGGCAGGCUUAACACAUGCAAGUCGAACGGUAGCAGGAGAAAGGUUGCUUUCUUGCUGACGAGUGGCGGACGGGUGAGUAAUGCUUGGGAAUCUGGCUUAUGGAGGGGGAUAACGACGGGAAACUGUCGCUAAUACCGCGUAUUAUCGGAAGAUGAAAGUGCGGGACUGAGAGGCCGCAUGCCAUAGGAUGAGCCCAAGUGGGAUUAGGUAGUUGGUGGGGUAAAGGCCUACCAAGCCUGCGAUCUCUAGCUGGUCUGAGAGGAUGACCAGCCACACUGGAACUGAGACACGGUCCAGACUCCUACGGGAGGCAGCAGUGGGGAAUAUUGCGCAAUGGGGGGAACCCUGACGCAGCCAUGCCGCGUGAAUGAAGAAGGCCUUAGGGUUGUAAAGUUCUUUCGGUAUUGAGGAAGGUUGAUGUGUUAAUAGCACAUCAAAUUGACGUUAAAUACAGAAGAAGCACCGGCUAACUCCGUGCCAGCAGCCGCGGUAAUACGGAGGGUGCGAGCGUUAAUCGGAAUAACUGGGCGUAAAGGGCACGCAGGCGGUUAUUUAAGUGAGGUGUGAAAGCCCCGGGCUUAACCUGGGAAUUGCAUUUCAGACUGGGUAACUAGAGUACUUUAGGGAGGGGUAGAAUUCCACGUGUAGCGGUGAAAUGCGUAGAGAUGUGGAGGAAUACCGAGGGCGAAGGCAGCCCCUUGGGAAUGUACUGACGCUCAUGUGCGAAAGCGUGGGGAGCAAACAGG